rnacentral:misc_RNA from 1 species
CCAGACCCGGAAGUGAGACGUCGACAGCGACAACCAAGACCAAGUUGCUGCAAGCACGGAUUCAAAAUAUUACGAUAUUAAUAUACGAUAUUAAUAUUAACUGUGACAAUGCCGUACAUGUUGAUCAGCACGCAGAUACGACUGGAAAACGGGCCGACAGUUGUUGGAGAUGAAUGGAGUGACAUCCAGUUGAUGGACUAUCUCGGUGCUUCGUUGUACAAACAACUUGGAAACAACUUCCUGGAGUACAAGAGCCCUGACCCUCCCCGUGUUGUCUUGAACAAGUUGGAGAAGAAAGGAUUCUCUGUUGUCAGCAUGACAGGUGUGGGACAAACCUGCAUAUGGACGCUUCACCUGCCAGAAGCCCUGGAUGAGGAUAAGAAUAAACAUCAGGCCCACUGAGUGGGGACAAGAUGGUCUGAUUGUGUGCGACAGCAAGGAAGUAGCAACAUAAUAUUGAAUAGUUCAUAUGGGUGUAAUGUCUCCAUGAUCUGGUCAACGCCGUGGUCGAAAUAAUUCAAAUACAUAUAUUAUCAGAGCAGUAGCCUACACACACACACACCCGCACAUACACACACACA